rnacentral:lncRNA from 1 species
UUGAAUAAAUCCAGAACGAUUCUGAACCGUCCGAUCCACCUUUUUUAUUCUUCUUUUUUUUUCUCUGUUUUUGUAUUUGCACCACGUGGCGCAUGCUGAGUGGUUCAACGUUUGAGCUCCCUAUUGGGCCCAGAUUGCUAGCGUUACCUCCCAUUUUCUGCUUUAUGUCUUUUAUUUUUAUUUCUUUUAUUUAUUCAAGGUGGGCCUUGGGCCAUUCUUUUUGUUUUUUUAUUUAUUUCUUUUGCUUGAUUCUUCUCUCCCUUACUACUUUCACCUCCACUUUUU